UUUUCACUGUCUUCUGAUAGUUCUAAUUUCAAAGAGAUGGCUUUUGCUUUCUUACUUAUGCUUAGAUUCAAGUUGCAUCAUGUCCCUCAGUAAUUUUUAUCAGGUGGGGACUAGCUGAUUUCUAGGAAUACAUGGCUUGUUUUGAAAGAAAGAUGUACAUUUCCUUUACAUAUUAUAGUAUUAGCUUUUCUAAGUCUUAAUCCAUACUGCUAGGGAAAAUAGUGAAAAAUGCAACCUAGGACUCUUUAGGUCAUGUAAAAUGCAAUAAACAAGAAAAACAAUACUUACCAGAAAGUCUAUAAAAGGCAAUCAUUUUGACAUGAAAGUCAAACAAUUUAUUUCCCUCUCUUCUACACUAAUUAUUAAGACAGAACAACCUAUCAAAUCAAGAUCACCAGUAAGGACCUAAAGUCCUUAAUUGCUGAAGCAUAUUCACUGGUGCGUGCAAAGUACCACAAUGAUGCACUACUUAUUGUAAUAAUUAGAUAUUGAAGAAGCAAUGGCCUACAUUCAGGAGAACUCUCUUUGAGCCUGGAAAGCAUAGAACCUCUCAUCCUCCAACCUGCCUAUGAGUGCAACCCUGCACUCAUCCUGACAAAGUUGCCUGAAGUGUAAAUGUGAUGGAUCUAAGAGAAGAGGGAAGGACAGGGAGGAGAGAUAUCAUGUAAUAAUGAACUUGCAUUAUUUGAGCCAGGUUAUUUAUAUGUUACUCAUUCAAUUCUCGUAAUGAAAAAGCAAGGGAAAAUUUUUUUUUCAGGUGAGAGAAUUAAGUUGCUCUUACAUGAAAACAGUAGCUCAAAUA